rnacentral:rRNA from 1 species
UACGGAGGAUGCAAGCGUUAUCCGGAAUGAUUGGGCGUAAAGCGUCCGCAGGUGGCUGUGUAAGUCUGCUGUCAAAGAGCGAAGCUCAACUUCGUAAAGGCAGUGGAAACUACACGGCUAGAGUGCGUUCGGGGCAGAGGGAAUUCCUGGUGUAGUGGUGGAAUGCGUAGAGAUCCGGAGGAACACCAGCGGCGAAGGCGGCAUCCUGGACUGGUCCUGACACUCAGGAGCGAAAGCGUGGGGAGCGAUCCGG